GACGAACGCUGGCGGCGUGCUUAACACAUGCAAGUCGAGCGGUAAGGCCCUCGGGUACGACGAGCGGCGAACGGGUGAGUAACACGUGGGUGACCUGCCUCUAGCUCUGGGAUAAGCCUGGGAAACGUGGGUCUAAUACCGGAUAUGACUCCACGGCGCAUGUUGUGGGGUGGAAAGCCUUGUGUGGCUAGAGAUGGGCCCGCGGCCUAUCAGCUUGUUGGUGGGGUGAUGGCCUACCAAGGCGACGACGGGUAGCCGGCCUGAGAGGGCGACCGGCCACACUGGGACUGAGACACGGCCCAGACCU
rnacentral:rRNA from 1 species